AAAGGUCGCGUGAUGAGUAAUGCAUAGUUCAAAUGAUAAUCAUAAUGAAAAUAUGAUUACAUCUUUAAAAAGUCUUUCGCUCCUAUCUGAUGACCUUU